rnacentral:tRNA from 1 species
GAAAAGAUAAGCUAAUAGAAAGCUGCCGGGCUCAUACCCCGGAAAUGAGUUUAACUCUCUUUUCAA